rnacentral:lncRNA from 1 species
CAUGUGUUUGACAGGUACAUCUUCGGGAUUGAACCCCUUAUGUUGACAAUUUACUUUUUCCAAGUUGAGCUCUCCUCGUCUCCUUUAAAUGGUCGUAAUUCUCAGAUACGCUCUUGCUUCUGUGGUAUUCGGCUUUGCUUGCUGAUGCAUGCAGAUCAGCUGGAGUCAAUGCGGCCCUUCCAAUAGUGGUGAUGUAUCGGUCUCAGGUGGCUGUUGUUGUUACAGGCGGUUUGCUCUUAGUGUUCCUAGACUAAGAUCAUUUGCAAGCUUUGGAUAUUGAUGUGGGCUUAAUAUUUAACAUAAUUGAAU